rnacentral:rRNA from 1 species
UACGGAGGGAGCUAGCGUUGCUCGGAAUCACUGGGCGUAAAGGGCGCGUAGGCGGACUUUUAAGUCGGGGGUGAAAGCCCAGGGCUCAACCCUGGAAUUGCCUUCGAUACUGAGAGUCUUGAGUUCGGAAGAGGUUGGUGGAACUGCGAGUGUAGAGGUGAAAUUCGUAGAUAUUCGCAAGAACACCAGUGGCGAAGGCGGCUCACUGGCCCGGUACUGACGCUGAGGCGCGAAAGCGUGGGGAGCGAACAGG